CUCCCUAUCGCGCCGAGCUCCAUCCAAUAGGCGGGGGCAACCGAACCACAUGGAUGGAGACGGGGGACCCACCGGUCCACCGUGAUCGGACUGGAGCCGCCCGCGGCUCCUAGGGGUGAAGCCGACGUCGUCGCUUCGACGACCACGCCGGCCGGGUGGCCUCUCCAACCCGAACCCGACAGCUGACCUCGCAGGCGCGUGACGAGAGAGGAA
rnacentral:sRNA from 2 species